CUAUACCCGGCUAUAGUCAGACAAGCACAGACGAUCAAUCGCUCUCCGUCUUUGUCGCACCACCGACGAGAGAACGCGCGGCAGAAGGAGGCACGAGGCAAGUCAGCGGUAGAUCUUAUCGCUAAGUCAAAAUCUCAUUUCUCCCUCCGCCUUGACCCUUCAACUCUCGUUUUCACGCAACGCACUGCCCGCAAUUCGGGAAAAAAUAUUUCGAAACCGCGCGGAAAACUUCCAGCAAAUGACACAAAAUGACGCCAAUAGUGAUGGCCAUUUCUGUGAUUUUUAUAUUGAAUUUUUUCAUUUUUUUUAUUCAAUUUUUUCAUCGUCUUUCCGAGAUCAAUGCGAAAAUGAAGGGUCACCGAGGAUCAUAAGAUAAUUAUUUGUGACAAGACGUUAAUCUAGAUUCAAAAUAAGGAUGAUUCGAGCAAAUCGCAUCGAGUUGUGAUAGCACGUUUCGAAGUUAGAAGGGCGAAAAAUUAGAAGACACGAAAAUUUGAAAAGUGACAGACCCAAAAAUGACGAGUCAUUAAAUGUUAAUUAACGAAAUAUGAGUGAUAAGGUAUUAAUCUAGACCCAAAAUAACUAAGAUUCUCAUAAAUUGCAACGACGUGCGCCUACGCGUUAUCGAGAAAUUGAAUUAAAGCCGAUAGGUCAAGAUUGACCGAUGCGAAAAUCACGAGUCACCAGUUAUAAGCUUAUUUGCUAUAAAAUUAUUUGCUAUAAGACAUUAAUCUAGGUUUGAACUAAGAUUGAUCCGCGUCGAGCUGCCAUCACGUGUUUCGGAGUUAGAGGCCACAGAAGAUGGAAAAGUGGCUCGGAAAUAAACUGUGAUGAAAUAUUAAUUAUCGAAAUAUGGGUGAUAAGGUUUUAAUUUAGUUGAUAAAAUCGUCGCUCUGCCUUGUGGAGCGAGAUAUUAAUUGUUAAAGUUGACGGCAAUUUGGUUUAGGAAAUCUAUUACGAAAGUGACAGAUAAUAAAAAAUGAAUUUUUGCCUUAUUAAAAAGAUGGGCCUACAAUAUACUAAGAAGGAUAAAAGACUUAAAUUUCAGGACACAGGACAAACUUCAAAAAAUUCCAGGACAACCCCAGAAAUCAAGGCCAUCUGGUAACUCUAGGGAGCAUGUAUCAUAAAUCAGAAAUAGAAGAAUGAUAGCAUGUGUUAUCUUAUUAU